ACAAGUUUCAGGAUGAUAACGUUGUUUCCCUUAUACUACAAGUCCCAGAAUGCACUGCUCACUCUACCGGAGCCAACUGCAGCUGCUGUUAAAACACAGCCUGUCAUUAAUGAUGUCCCAUUAGCUUUCAUGUAUUUAGUUUUAAACACGACAAAACACAGAUGUCGCUUUACACAUACAGUGGCGGGGCGUGGCAGCCUUGUGAAAGCACUCGUUUCCUUUUACAAAGCUGCAGCAAAGCAGAUAAUGAAGCGGCCUAAUGCCUCCCGUCUCGAGAAUGCGGCGUCAGGAGGACAAAAGUGGAAUGACGUGCUAAGUGGGUGUAUAAAGGAGACUCAUAAAAGAAGGAGCUAAUUGAAAAAUGAGACAAGCUAAGAAGAAUCCAGGAUAAAAGUCUGCCGCCUUCCUCGGGAAAACGCCCACCCACCGUCGCUUGAGUCGUGAGUGGGAGCAGAGCCGAGAUGCCAGCCCAACGCUUGAUGCCUCCCACAAUGUUCGCCCUCGACUUCUCAUUUGCAACUUCUCCAUCAGGCGAC